rnacentral:rRNA from 1 species
CUAUCAAUUCUAAAGGUAUCUGGAAUAAUUUUAAAUGUAUUUAGUACAGAAUAAAUUUUAAAUAAAGAAAUGUUAAGAUUUCAUUAAUUAUAGAAUAUUAAAUAUAGUUUAAGUAUGAAUUAAUCUUCCAAUAUGUAAACUUAAUAAUAAUAAUUUAUUUAAUAUAUCUUUAUAUUAAAAUUAUCUUUUCUGUAAUUAAUUAGAAAAUUAAUAAUGUUAAAAUUAGUAAUUUUUAAUAUUUUAAAUUAAGGAACUCGGCAAAUUAUUAUUCAACUGUUUAUCAAAAACAUAGCCUUAUGUAUUAUAUAUAAGGUGAAACCUGCCCAUUGAUUUUAAUGAAUUUAACGGCCGCAGUACCUUGACUGUGCUAAGGUAGCAUAAUAAAUUGACUCUUAAUUGGGGCCUUGAAUGAAUGGAUUUAUGGAUAAUUUCUGUCUUAAUAGAAUUAAAAUUAAAUUACUUAAAAGGUGAAAAUUCCUUUAAUUUAUACAAUAGACGAGAAGACCCUAGGAGUUUUAUUUUUGUUGGGGCGACAGUAUAACAUUAUAACUUAUAUGUUUAUAGUUAUUAUUAAACGAAUUAUUUUAAUAAUAAAGAAACUACCCUAGGGAUAACAGCAUAAUUUUUUAAAAAGUUU